GCAGGGGUAGCCAAGUCUGGUCUAAGGCGUAAGGCUUAGGACCUUAUGGGUUAGUCCCUUCGUCGGUUCAAAUCCGGCCCCCUGCA
rnacentral:tRNA from 1 species